rnacentral:rRNA from 1 species
UAGGGAAUCUUCCACAAUGGACGCAAGUCUGAUGGAGCAACGCUGCGUGAGUGAAGAAGGUUUUCGGACCGUAAAGCUCUGUUGUUGGUGAAGAAGGAUAGAGGUAGUAACUGGCCUUUAUUUGACGGUAAUCAACCAGAAAGUCACGGCUAACUACGUGCCAGCAGCCGCGGUAAUACGUAGGUGGCAAGCGUUGUCCGGAUUUAUUGGGCGUAAAGCGAGCGCAGGCGGAAGAAUAAGUCUGAUGUGAAAGCCCUCGGCUUAACCGAGGAAUUGCAUCGGAAACUGUUUUCUUGAGUGCAGAAGAGGAGAGUAGAACUCCAUGUGUAGCGGUGGAAUGCGUAGAUAUAUGGAAGAAUACCAGUGGCGAAGGCGGCUCUCUGGUCUGCAACUGACGCUGAGGCUCGAAAGCAUGGGUAGCGAACAGGAUUAGAUACCCUGGUAGUCCAUGCCGUAAACGAUGAGUGCUAAGUGUUGGGAGGCUUCCGCCUCUCAGUGCUGCAGCUAACGCAUUAAGCACUCCGCCUGGGGGAGUACGACCGCAAGGUUGAAAC